GACGAACGCUGGCGGCGUGCUUAACACAUCGCAAGUCGAGCGGUAAGGCCCUUUCGGGGGUACACGAGCGGCGAACGGGUGAGUAACACGUGGGUGACCUGCCCUCAGCUCUGGGAUAAGCCUGGGAAACUGGGUCUAAUACCGGAUAUGACUCCAUGACGCAUGUUGUGGGGUGGAAAGCCUUGUGCGGCUGAGGAUGGGCCCGCGGCCUAUCAGCUUGUUGGUGGGGUGAGGCCUACCAAGGCGACGACGGGUAGCCGGCCUGAGAGGGCGACCGGCCACACUGGGACUGAGACACGGCCCAGACUCCUACGGGAGGCAGCAGUGGGGAAUCUUGCGCAAUGGGCGAAAGCCUGACGCAGCGACGCCGCGUGAGGGAUGACGGCCU
rnacentral:rRNA from 1 species